rnacentral:sRNA from 1 species
GCUUGCUGUGGCCCUGUCAGGAAGAGUAGAGCUCUGGUCCAGCUCCGUGCAGGGAGGGAGCCUGUCACCAUGCCGGCCUGCUGCAGCUGCAGUGAUGUUUUCCAGUAUGAGACGAACAAAGUCACUCGGAUCCAGAGCAUGAAUUAUGGCACCAUUAAGUGGUUCUUCCACGUGAUCAUCUUUUCCUACGUUUGCUUUGCUCUGGUGAGUGACAAGCUGUACCAGCGGAAAGAGCCUGUCAUCAGUUCUGUGCACACCAAGGUGAAGGGGAUAGCAGAGGUGAAAGAGGAGAUCGUGGAGAACGGAGUGAAGAAGUUGGUGCACAGUGUCUUUGACACCGCAGACUACACCUUCCCUUUGCAGGGGAACUCUUUCUUCGUGAUGACAAACUUUCUCAAAACAGAAGGCCAAGAGCAGCGGUUGUGUCCUGAGUAUCCCACCCGCAGGACGCUCUGUUCCUCUGACCGAGGUUGUAAAAAGGGAUGGAUGGACCCGCAGAGCAAAGGAUGGGCUUGAUGGAAGCUGAAGCUGCGUGGGUUGGAAAGCCUGGUCAAAGCCUAGUCUCUCGCCUGGGUUGAGUUAAUGAUGUCCCUCCUGGAGAACAUCCUCUCCGCAGUUCUUUCACAUCUGUGGUUCUAUGAUGCUUUGACCCCUAUAGGAAUUCAGACCGGAAGGUGUGUAGUAUAUGAAGGGAAGCAGAAGACCUGUGAAGUCUCUGCCUGGUGCCCCAUCGAGGCAGUGGAAGAGGCACCCCGGCCUGCUCUCUUGAACAGUGCCGAAAACUUCACCGUGCUCAUCAAGAACAAUAUCGACUUCCCCGGCCACAACUACACCACGAGAAACAUCUUGCCAGGUUUAAACAUCACUUGUACCUUCCACAAGACUCAGAAUCCACAGUGUCCCAUUUUCCGACUAGGAGACAUCUUCCGAGAAACAGGCGAUAAUUUUUCAGAUGUGGCAAUUCAGAUACGCCAAGUACUACAAGGAAAACAAUGUUGAGAAACGGACUCUGAUAAAAGUCUUUGGGAUCCGUUUUGACAUCCUGGUUUUUGGCACCGGAGGAAAAUUUGACGUUAUCCAGCUGGUUGUGUACAUCGGCUCAACCCUCUCCUACUUCGGUCUGGUAAGAGAUUCUCUUUUCCACGCUUUAGGAAAAUGGUUUGGAGAAGGAAGUUACUAACAUGGUGCUUGUCUGCAUUUUCCCCAGGCAACUGUGUUCAUCGACUUCCUCAUCAACACUUACUCCAGUAACUGCUGUCGCUCCCACGUUUAUCCCUGGUGCAAGUGCUGUCAGCCCUGUGUGGUCAACGAAUACUACUACAGGAAGAAGUGCGAGUCCAUUGUGGAGCCAAAGCCGACAUUAAAGUAUGUGUCCUUUGUGGAUGAAUCCCACAUUAGGAUGGUGAACCAGCAGCUACUAGGGAGAAGUCUGCAAGAUGUCAAGGGCGAAGAAGUCCCAAGACCUGCGAUGGACUUCACAGAUUUGUCCAAGCUGCCCCUGGCCCUCCAUGACACACCCCCAAUUCCUGGACAACCAGAGGAGAUACAGCUGCUUAGAAAAGAGGCGACUCCUAGAUCCAGGGAUAGCCCCGUCUGGUGCCAAUGUGGAAGCUGCCUCCCAUCCCAACUCCCUGAGAGCCGCAGGUGCCUGGAGGAGCUGUGCUGCCGGAAAAAGCCGGGGGCCUGCAUCACCACCUCAGAGCUGUUCCGGAAGCUGGUCCUGUCCAGACACGUCCUGCAGUUCCUCGUGCUCUACCAGGAGCCCUUGCUGGCACUGGAUGUGGAUUCCACCAACAGCCGGCUGCGGCACUGUGCCUACAGGUGCUACGCCA